rnacentral:rRNA from 1 species
AUCCAGACUCCUACGGGAGGCAGCAGUGGGGAAUAUUGCACAAUGGGGGAAACCCUGAUGCAGCGACGCCGCGUGAGCGAUGAAGCAUUUCGGUAUGUAAAGCUCUAUCAGCAGGGAAGAAAAUGACGGUACCUGACUAAGAAGCCCUGGCUAACUACGUGCCAGCAGCCGCGGUAAUACGUAGGGGGCAAGCGUUAUCCGGAUUUACUGGGUGUAAAGGGGGCGCAGACGGCGAUGCAAGCCAGGAGUGAAAGCCCGGGGCCCAACCCCGGGACUGCUCUUGGAACUGCGUGGCUGGAGUGCAGGAGGGGCAGGCGGAAUUCCUGGUGUAGCGGUGAAAUGCGUAGAUAUCAGGAGGAACACCGGUGGCGAAGGCGGCCUGCUGGACUGCAACUGACGUUGAGGCCCGAAAGCGUGGGGAGCGAACAGGAUUAGAUACCCGCGUAA